rnacentral:lncRNA from 10 species
AAGGGAGAUCGGGCCGUGUGAGCUUUCCUCAGGAGUGAGCAAAAACAGGAACGUGCCUGCAGAGGGAGGAGUUCCCAAAGAGGAAACGGCGCAGGAACAGCAAAUGCAGAGAGGAUGCACACUCUGAAGAGGGCAGGCAGCUUCUGCACCGAGGGAGCAAAGGGGCGUGUCAGGGGCAGCUGCUGGAAGGAGGCGCAAGCACCACGGAGAGUCUGGGAUGCCCAGCCAAGGAGCCCUGGAAGGGUUGCCCUGGGGACUGACACUGUGGGCUCUGUGUUUUAGCCAAGUCACCCAGGCAGCUGAACAGAAGAUGGACUGGAGGGAGAAGCCUGGAUGUAGGAUCGCUCAGCAACAAAGGAGCCAGAAAAGGCAAGGUGUACACACCGUGUGCAGCAUGGGCGAGCUGCAGGCAUGCAGAACUUCUGAGUCCUAACCAUGGCUGGUGGCUCUUCCAGGAACAUGGUUUCCUGGACCCAAAAGGUAUCUGUUUGGAGAGGCUGGGAGCAGAGUGGUUAAAAGAGCCAGGCCUGGUUCCAUUUCUGACCCCUCUUCUAGCUGAGCAACUUCCGCCUCUUCCAGCCUCCCUCACGGGAAUCACAGAUCACGUGAGAUGACACCCAUGAAGGGCUUGACUGGCAUCUGGCACAUGGUGAGGACUGCAAAAAUGUGGGCUAUUGUUUUUACUAUUAUCCCCAUUUUAUAGAUGAGGAAACUGAGGCUUGGAGAGGCUCUCUGCCUUUGUCAACCUGGAGAUGCUGGGAAGGAAGUGAGGCCCAUCCCACCUCAGAUGCCUGUCCUCUGUCGUCAGGAGCAUUCUCUUGUUCUUCCGGGCUUGGCCAAGCGGUGGUAAACCCCACAUGUGGUUCUGUGGUUGCCCACACAGUCCUAAAAAUAGCCAACAGGAACCCAGGGGCUCCCCCUUGGUGAGUGGCAGCAGGCCCAGUCCUCAGGCAGCCACCAACCUGCUCACUCCCCACAGGCAAGCAGGUCCUGUCUAGGAAGGGGCUGGGUGGCCUGGGUCCCAUGCAUGAUGAGCCAGAGGCUGUGCCAAGCUUAUAGCAAAUAUUAUUUUAUUUCAUUAUGUUUUCUUACAUCUGUGAUGUGGAGGCCAUAGCUCCACUGGACUCAUGAGGAGACUGAGGCUCAGAGCAAUGAAGUGACCUGCUCAAAGUUAAGGAGCUUCAGUUUGGACCCAAUUUGUUCUGAUCCUAAGGUCACUAUCCUUAAUCCCUCUCCCUGUGGGGUCUUCCCUAUCUUGAGCCUGUGGACAGCUGUGCAGUGGCAAGAAAAAGGCCUUCAGAGCUACGCAGACCUGGCUUCAAAUCCCAGCCUCCCUGAUGAGCCCUGGUGGUCUUGCAUGCUUGCCCUUGGGACUCAGACACCAUAUUGUGAGGAAGCCCAAGCUACAUGCAGAGGCCACUAUAGUUGUUCUGGCCAACAGCCCAAGCUUCAGCUGCCAGACAUAUAAAUAAACCAACUCUUCAAAUGAUUUCAGUUUCCAGACUUCAGUGCAUCCCAGGAAUGCCUUCUUCAUCUGUUGAAAUCCAGCCCAUCUAUGAAGAGUCAAAGGCCGCCUUGGCCGUGAAGGCCUCUGGUGCUGUGGGCCCAUGCGGCCCAGGCCCAGGGGUUCUGCAGAGACCACCAGGAUCCCAGCAGGACAAUAGGAAAUCUCAGCAGAGGCAUUCCAGAACACGGAAAAGCCAGUUCCUGAUGAAUCCAGAGGAUGUUCAAAGCUCACCAGGCCAAUGAACCCCGACGGAUUCCCCAGUGGGCCCUCUCUCCUUUCCGUAGAUCUUCUAGGAGUUUUACCAUUUAAAGAGAACUGCAGGAGGCCAUCUUAACCAGACUGUAUGUUUCAUUAAACCAAGAAUGGUAUUUAUUCUAGCAGUAUUCUAGGCACUGGGAUACAACAAAGAGCACAAAUUGAGAGGUGACAGCGUGCUGGCAGUCCUCACAGCCCUCGCUCGCUCUCGGCGCCUCCUCUGCCUGGGCUCCCACUUUGGCGGCACUUGAGGAGCCCUUUGGCCCGCCGCUGCACUGUGGGAGCCCCUUUAUGGGCUGGCCAAGGCUGGAGCCCACUCCCUCAGCUUGCAGGGAGGUGUGGAGGGAGAGGUGCGAGCGGGAACCAGGGCUGCGUGCGGCGCUUGCGGGCCAGCUGGAGUUCCGGGUGGGCGUGGGCUUGGCAGGCCCGGCACUCGGAGUAGCCGGCCAGCCCUGCUGGCCCCGGGCAAUGAGGGACUUAGCACCCGGGCCAGUGGCUGCGGAGGGUGUACUGGGUCCCCCAGCAGUGCCAGCCCACCGGUGCUGCACUCGAUUUCUCACCGAGCCUUAGUUGCCUUCCUGCGGGGCAGGGCUCGGGACCUGCAGCCUGCCAUGCCUGAGCCUCCCACCCACUCCAUGGGCUCCUGUGCAGCCCGAGCCUCCCCAACGAGCAUCACUCCCUGCUCCACGGCGCCCAGUCCCAUCGACCACCCAAGGGCUGAGGAAUGCGAGCACACAGCACGUGACUGGCAG